rnacentral:rRNA from 1 species
CGGACGGGUGAGUAACGCGUGGGUAACCUGCCUCAUACAGGGGGAUAACAGUUAGAAAUGACUGCUAAUACCGCAUAAGCGCACGAGGAUGCAUGUUCUUGUGUGAAAAACUCCGGUGGUAUGAGAUGGACCCGCGUCUGAUUAGCUAGUUGAAGGGGUAACGGCCCACCAAGGCGACGAUCAGUAGCCGACCUGAGAGGGUGACCGGCCACAUUGGGACUGAGACACGGCCCAAACUCCUACGGAAGGCAGCAG